UGUGUAGGCGGAUCGUUAAGUACCUUGUGAAAUCCCAUGGCUCAACCAUGGAACGGCUGGGUAUACUGGCGAUCUUGAGCGAUCCAGGGGCAGAUGGAACAAGUGGUGGAGCGGUGAAAUGCGUAGAUAUCACUUGGAACGCCAAAGGUGAAGACAGUCUGCUGGGGAUCAGCUGACGCUGAGACACGAAAGCCAGGGGAGCGAACGGGAUUAGAUACCCCGGUAGUCCUGGCCCUAAACGAUGUCGACUAGAUCGUGGAACCUCUGACGGUUUCGCGGUCGAAGCAAAAGUGCUAAGUCGACCGCCUGGGAAGUACGGUCGCAAGGCUAAA
rnacentral:rRNA from 1 species